rnacentral:rRNA from 1 species
GACGAACGCUGGCGGCGUGCCUAAUACAUGCAAGUCGAACGAAGCUGUUUUAACUGGUGCUUGCACCGACUUAAACAACUGAGUGGCGAACGGGUGAGUAACACGUGGGUAACCUGCCCCAAAGCGGGGGAUAACAUUUGGAAACAGAUGCUAAUACCGCAUAACCACAGAAACCACAUGGUUUCUGUGUCAAAGAUGGUUUCGGCUAUCACUUUGGGAUGGACCCGCGGCGUAUUAGCUAGUUGGCAAGGUAAUGGCUUACCAAGGCAAUGAUACGUAGCCGAACUGAGAGGUUGAUCGGCCACAUUGGGACUGAGACACGGCCCAAACUCCUACGGGAGGCAGCAGUAGGGAAUCUUCCACAAUGGACGAAAGUCUGAUGGAGCAACGCCGCGUGAGUGAAGAAGGUUUUCGGAUCGUAAAACUCUGUUGUCAGAGAAGAACGUGUGCGAGAGUAACUGUUCGUGCGGUGACGGUAUCUGGCCAGAAAGCCACGGCUAACUACGUGCCAGCCGCCGCAGUAA